rnacentral:rRNA from 1 species
GCAGCGAAACGCGAUAGUUAAUGUGAAUUGCAGAAUUCAGUGAAUCAUCGAGUCUUUGAACGCACAUUGCGCCCAUUGGUAUUCCGAUGGGCAUGUCUGUUUGAGCGUCAUUACAACCCUCGGCUCCAGCCGGUUUUGAGCACGCCUCGGCCUCACCGCCAGGCUGGCUUUAAAGUUGUAAGCUCUGCUGACCGCUCCUGCCGAACCAGAACAUAGUAAACACCAUACUUGUUCGCAAGGCGAGGCUCUGGCGGUUCGGCCUGAACAAAACCUACCAAACCUAAGGUUUGACCUCAGAUCAGACAAGGAUACCCGCUGAACUUAAGCAUAUCAAUAAGCGGAGGAAAAGAAACCAACAGGGAUUGCCUCAGUAACGGCGAGUGAAGCGGCAACAGCUCAAAUUUGAAAUCUGGAGUCUUUCGGCUUCCGAGUUGUAAUUUGAAGAGGAUGCUUCGGACCGGCCUUGGCCUAAGUUCCUUGGAACAGGACGUCAUGGAGGGUGAGAAUCCCGUACAUGGCUGCAGGCUUGGUCCAUGUG